UACGAAGGGGGCGAGCGUUGUUCGGAUUUACUGGGCGUAAAGGGCGCGCAGGCGGCGCAUUUUGUCAGGCGUGAAAGCCCCGGGCUUAACCUGGGAACAGCGCUUGAGACUGGCACGCUCGAGUUCGGGAGAGGAUGGUGGAAUUCCCAGUGUAGAGGUGAAAUUCGUAGAUAUUGGGAAGAACACCGAUGGCGAAGGCAGCCAUCUGGACCGACACUGACGCUGAGGCGCGAAAGCGUGGGGAGCAAACAGG
rnacentral:rRNA from 1 species